rnacentral:rRNA from 1 species
UACGUAGUAACAGAGGGCUUGAUUUAUGGCUCAGAUUGAACGCUGGCGGGAUGCUUUACACAUAAGUCGGAACGGCAGCACGGACUUCGGUCUGGUGGUGAGGCGAAUCGGUGAGUAAUGUAUCGGAACGUGCCUAGUAGCGGGGGAUAACUACGCGAAAGCGUAGCUAAUACCGCAUACGCCCUUCGGGGGAAAGCGGGGGACCUUCGGGCCUCACCUAUUAGAGCGGCCGAUAUCGGAUUAGCUAGUUGCGGGGUAACGGCUCACCAAGGCGACGAUCCGUAGCUGGUUUGGUGAGGACGACCAGCUACACUGGGACUGAGACACGGCCCAGACUCCUACGGGAGGCAGCAGUGGGGAAUUUUGGACAAUGGGGAACUCGAUCCAGCCAUCCCGCGUGUGCGAUGAAGUGCCUUCGGGUUGUGGGCAAGCAUUUUGCAGCAGGAAAGAAACGACACGGGAUAAUACCCCGUGCAACUGACGGUACCCGCAGAAUAAGCACCGGCUAACUACGUGCCAGCAGCCGCGGUAAUAAUGUAGGGUGCAAGCGUUAAUCGGAAUUACUGGGCGUAAAGCGUGCGCAGCGUCUGGAAAGAAAGAUGUGAAAUCCCAGAGCUUAACUUUGGAACUGCAUUUUUAACUACCGAGCUAGAGGUGUCAGAGGAGGUGGAAUCGCGCGGUAGUGAAUGCGUAGAUAUGCGGAGGAACACCGAUGGCGAAGGCAGCCUCCUGAUAACACUGACGCUCAUGCACGAAAGCGAGCAAACAGGAUUAUACCCUGGUAGUCCACGCCCUAAACGAUGUCAACUAGCUGUUAGCCUUGGCCAGUGCAGCUAACGCAGGAAGUUGACCGCUCGGGAUACGGCUGCAAGAUUAAAACCAAAGGAAUUGACGGGGACCCGCACAAGCGGUGGAUGAUGUGGAUUAAUUGAUGCAACGCGAAAAACCUUACCUACCCUUGACAUGUCUGGAAUCCCGAAGAGACGGAGUGCUCAAAAGAGAACCGGAACACAGGUGCUGUGAUGGCUGUCGUCAGCUCGUGUCGUGAGAUGUUGGGUUAAGUCCCGCAACGAGCGCAACCCUUGUCAUUAGUUGCUACGAAAGGGCAUCGCAUCGAGACUGUUACACAAACUCGGAGGAAGGCGGGGAUGACGUCAAGUCCUCAUGGCCCUUAUGGGUAGGGUCAAGACGUCACAAGCAAUGGUUUUUCUGAUAGAGGUCGCCAACCCGUAGGGGGAGCCAAUCCUGUGGAAACCCGACUGUAGUCCGGAUCGCAGUCUGCAACCACCGCGCAAGUCGGAAUCGCUAGUAAUCGCGGAUCAGCAUGAGUCAUGGUGAAUACGUUCCCGGGUCUUGUACACCGUCAUCACAGCACCAUGGAGGUUUUACCAGUAGUUAGCCUAACCGUAAGGAGGGCGAUUACCACGGUAGGAUUCAUGACUGGGGUGAAGUCGUAACAAGGUAG